GCCAGGCCUUGGGCCUCGUUUGCUCUCGCAGGAGCCGUCUCGGCUGCGAAGUGGCGGCUAGAGCGGCCCGGCGCGGGGCUGGCGCCUGCUUCUGGAGACACCCUAGUGGUGGGAGGUCCCGGGCUCCACACCCUGCGCAAUCGCCCCAGAUUUCCCAGGACUCCGGCGCAGGACCUGGCGGGGGGCAUGGCAUCCACUCCCGCCAGGAAUGAGGAGAAGGGCAGCCGGCUGGCUCCAGCUCCAGCUCCAACCUCCUUGAGUGAGGGGCCGCUGAGCUCCGAAGGGGAGACCCUGGAGAUGGGAGUGGAACUGAGGGCUCCCAGGCAGAGGCACCCGUCCCAGAAGGUUUCACUCUCUCGCUCUGAGGAAUUCCUGACCCGGAUCAGCACGGAGCUCACCGACGAGGCCUUGUUUAUCGCUUGCUGUCACGUGAAUCCUGUGCCCAUCAAGGAGAAGCAGACAAAAGACCAAGGGACUCAGAUAUCCCAACACGUGUUCUGCACCAAGACCCGAGGCACUGACACCCGCUCUGACAGGAACCGGACCCGCACCAAGGCACACCUCCUGCCGUCCCCUCGUGCCAAGACCGUGCCUCCAAGCUCCCCUUUUGCAACUCGUUAAGCACUUCACUUGAGACGGACUCCCGGUCGUGAGCAGUGGUCAUCUCAAAGCCUCUGGACUGUUCUGGAACCAUCACUCAACUUGGCACACAACUCACCACCCUCUGGCACAGACACUGCCAGGAAUCAAGGCUGUAAUAAAGAGUCGGCCCCUCCCUUC